rnacentral:rRNA from 1 species
GACGAACGCUGGCGGCGUGCUUAACACAUGCAAGUCGAACGAAGUGGCGAACGGGUGAGUAACGCGUAAUCAACCUGCCCAUCAGAGGGGGACAACAGUUGGAAACGACUGCUAAUACCGCAUACAGAAGGACGGGAUUGCGUUUGAUUAGCUGGUUGGUGGGCGAACGGCCCACCAAGGCGAUGAUCAGUAGCCGGUCUGAGAGGGUGAUCAGGCAGACGGGAACUGAGACACGGUCCAGACUCUUACGCGAGGCAGCAGUGGGGAAUAUUGGGCAAUGGGCGAGAGCCUGAUCCAGCCAUGCCGCGUGUGUGAAGAAGGUCUUCGGCUGGUAAAGCACUGUAAGUUUGGAGGCGUUACCAACAGAAUAAGCACCGGCUAACUUCGUGCCAGCAGCCGCGGUAAUUC